UCCAGCCCUGACGCAGUACCACAGCGCUAGUGGCCAGGCUGGGCUGGGGGGGGCGGGGCGGGGAGAGGGUGCACACAAUGGGCAGGCAGCCUCGCUUCAACGCAGUCAAUCGCUCCGAGGCAGAAUCGGGGCACGGCGCGAGCGUCACGGGUCCCACCCCCACCCUCACUGAGGGCCAGGACGUGCGGCACCACACGUAGGCCCGCGGGGGGGGGGAGGCCCCGCCCACUCCUGGCGGGAGCCAGUCCGCCCGCCUGCCCGGGAAGUACGCAGGCAGCGGGGCACUUCGAGCAGACGUGAGCGCAGACCCGUACGGCGCGGAAACAGGGCUCCAGUCCCUGUGACUCCCACCGCUGGCCAAGUGAUGCAUGUGCUCAUGGAAAUGUUUCUUAAGAGCUACUGACGGCAUGAACAUUGAAUUCUCUCAUGUCUGAUGCUGCCUGACCUGCUGAGUUCCUCCCAAAAUUUUAUGUCACAGACCCUGCGGACCAGCGAGGGGGCGCCGGGUAGCGGCAGGUCUUGACGCACCGGCAAGUCAUUUAUCUGAGUUUAUUGAUGACCAAUUUUUUUACUGAGCUGAGGAGGUUUGGCUUGUCACCUAAGACACUUAGAAAUUUCGACAGAUGGAGAGCAUUCUGACUGGCUGCGUCAUCAUCGUCUGGUACGGGGAGGGGCGUGGGGUUACGGCACAGGAUCAAACGAGGCUGCAGAGAGUUGUAAGGUCAGUCAGCUGCAUCGUGGCCACCAGCCUUUGUCGUACCUGAGACAUCUUCAAGGAGCGGUGCCUCAAAAAGGCGCGUCCACCAUUAUGUGCCCCCAUCACCCAGGACUUGUCGCUCUUCAUUAUUUUAUGAGAUAAGAGCGCGGAGCAGGUCACCCUGGCUUUUCGAGCCGCAUCGCCCAGCAAACCCCAACUUGACCCAAGCCUAAUAACGGGACAAUUUACAAUGACCCACCAACCGGUACGUCUUUGGACUGUGGGAGGAAACCACAGCACCUGGGGGAAACCCUAGCGGUCUUCCGGAGAAUGUACAAACUCCUUGCAGGCAAACUGAACCCAGGUCGCUGGUUUAUUCUCCUGUAAAUGCCGGCAAGAAAAUUAAUCUCAUGGGGCCGUGCACAAUCCUGAUUUGAUGGAGACAGCCGUGAGAGCACGGAGGAACAUCUGGAGUAACUUCUGAAAUGCCCGGUUCGCUGUCGCUGCUACUGUGCGAUCGAGAAUCUCCGGAGGGAAGGCCUCAAAAUCCUCGGCUUUGCCUGCUGCUGGCGGACAGGGCUGGGGUCGAAGCGCUUGGCAGAGAUGGUGCUCAGUGUCAGAGGGCUGGUCAGAGCUCGAAGUUUUCAGACGACUCAGAGCCAGUCUGUGGUCGGGCAUGGCAGGGAGAGUUUUCUUCCUUCUCCCGUCUGCGUGAGAUGUGGGACUUUUGAGAGACUUUGAACUUUUUUAACCGUGCCCAUGGCCUGUUCUUCAUCAAGUUAUGGUAUUGUUGCACUGUUGUAACUAUAUGUUAUAAUAAUGCGGUUUUUGUUAGUUUUUCAGUCUUGGUCUAUCCUGUGUUUUGUGAUAUCACACCGGAGGAAUAUUGUAUCAUUUCUUAAUGCAUGCAUUACUAAAUGACAAUAAAAGAGGACUGAGUGUCCUCAUAAUCUAAUCUAUUGUUUUUACAUAAUAAAAAUCUUUAUGGCAUCUUUCCCCAUUGAUAAUGCUAAUGACAUCCUCUCAUGGGGGAAGCAAUAUGGAAGGAGGCAAGAGGUGGCAGCUGAACUAACCUGACUGUUGGACUAGAGGCUGAUAGAAAUCAGUGCAGGCGCAGUAAAGAUCAAAAACUUAAAUCAGCUAACAGAGGAUGAAAGUACAAAGCUGCCCACGGUUAAAGAAAUCAGAGUCACCAUCUGUUUGAACUGGAC